AAGGUAACGGCUUACCAAGGCGACGAUCAGUAGCCGACCUGAGAGGGUGAUCGGCCACAUUGGAACUGAGACACGGUCCAAACUCCUACGGGAGGCAGCAGUGGGGAAUAUUGCACAAUGGGCGAAAGCCUGAUGCAGCAACGCCGCGUGAGUGAUGAAGGCCUUCGGGUCGUAAAACCCUGUCCUCAAGGAAGAUAAUGACGGUACUUGAGGAGGAAGCCCCGGCUAACUACGUGCCAGCAGCCGCGGUAAUACGUAGGGGGCUAGCGUUAUCCGGAUUU
rnacentral:rRNA from 1 species